rnacentral:rRNA from 1 species
GACGAACGCUGGCGGCGUGCUUAACACAUGCAAGUCGAACGAAGUGGCGAACGGGUGAGUAACGCGUAAUCAACCUGCCCUUCAGAGGGGGACAACAGUUGGAAACGACUGCUAAUACCGCAUACUGAAGGAGGGGAUUGCGUCUGAUUAGCGAGUUGGAGGGGUAACGGCCCACCAAGGCGAUGAUCAGUAGCCGGUCUGGGGAGGUGAACCGCCACAUUGGGACUGGGGCACGGCCCAGACCCCUAACGGAGGCAGCAGUGGGGAAUCUUCCGCAAUGGACGAAAGUCUGACGGAGCAACGCCGCGUGAGUUAUGACGGCCUUCGGGUUGUAAAGCUCUGCUAAUCGGGACGCGGUACCGGAAUAGAAAGCCACGGCUAACUACGUGCCAGCCGCCGCGGUAAUAC